rnacentral:tRNA from 2 species
CGGGGUGUAGCGCAGUCCGGUCUAGCGCGCCUGGUUCGGGACCAGGAGGUCGGAGGUUCAAAUCCUCUCACCCCGACCA